AAGACAACAGCUCUGAGGAGGCAGGUGGAGAAAAGGGAGAAGAAGAAGCAGAAGAAGAAAGAGAGAAAAAAGAGUAGAGAGAAAAAAAGAGAGCAAAGGGACGGGACCAGAGAGAGUGAGGGUGAGAGGGUAGGUAGUGAGAUUGGGUCAGAGAGAGAGACUGACAGCAGAGCAUACAUUUCCCAGAGGACACAGCCUGAGAACGAGAGAGACUGCUGAGAAGUUCAGUCUGACAAAAUGCCGAGGAGGAGAAGCGUGUCAUUUGGUGGAUUUGGAUGGAUCGACAAGUCCACCUUGUCUGCACUAAGAGCCCGGAAACAGGAACUGUUAAACAUCUCCAACGUCCCUCUGGGAGAAUGUCCCC